CGUGGGUAACCUGCCCCGAUGACUGGGACAACCCGAGGAAACUCGGGCUAAUACCGGAUGUGCUCUCAUCACAUAAGCGAUGAGAGUAAAGAUAGCUUCGGCCUUCGCAUCGGGAUGGGCCCGCGGCCCAUUAGCUUGUUGGUGGGGUAACGGCCUACCAAGGCGACGAUGGGUAGCUGGUCUGAGAGGACGAUCAGCCACACUGGGACUGAGACACGGCCCAG
rnacentral:rRNA from 1 species